CAAGUACUCCCUCCAUCCGAAAAUACUUGUCAUCAAAAUGGAUAAAAAAGAUGUAUCUAGAACUAAUAUACAUCUAGAUACAUCCCGUUUUAUUCAUUUUGAUGACAAGUAUUUCCGGACGGAGGGAGUACUAC
rnacentral:pre_miRNA from 1 species